rnacentral:lncRNA from 1 species
GUGAGUAGGAUGAGUUUGAUAAGAAAAUAGCUCAGUUCAAUGAUAAAGUCAUAAAUAUAUUAUAUUAUUUAUUAGAUGCCAAUAAUUUUAACCUUAUUUUAACUUGUAACUCAGUAAAAAAAAUUGGGAUAGACUUAAGAUAACUCAUGAAGGCACAAAUCAAGUUAAAGAAUCAAAAAUUAAUAUACUUAUAUAUAGAUAUAAACUUUUUAAAAUGGAGCC